ensembl:lncRNA
GAAACGUUUAGAUACUGUUUUACGUGUCUAUGAGUUUUCAUAUGAAAUGGUUUGACAACAGUCUGAGUUAAUUAACAUUGACAUAGAUAUACAGACAUAGAUAUACAGACAUAGAUAUACAGACAGAUAUAUACGGACAGAUAUAUACGGACAGAUAUAUACAGACAGAUGUAUACGGACAGACAUACAGUUAUAACCUGUUGUCAUAGAGAUAGUCAUGAUGUGACUCAUAGGUCUACGUUCCAAAUGGCACCAGAUUCCCUGUUUAGUGCAUUACUUUUGAGCAGGGCCCAUUAAAAGCAGUGCACUACCUAGGAAAUAGGGUGCGUGGAAGCUGGCAGUGUUUGAGGCUCCAACUCGAGAGCGAAGAGUCAAAGUCUGACUUUAAAGACAUAAAAACAACAGAGAGAUAUAUUGCAUCGCAAAGGAGAAGAGAAGGAGAGAAACAAAAGAAAGAGAAGAGAAGGAGAGAAUAAAAAAAGAAAAGAUGGCGAUCGGAAAGAGUCCCAGAAACGGUUCCGUCAGGUCUCCAAAGUACUUGGACAAGAGUUCUGGGUUCUACGGUCGCCUGGAUGAGCCCGAGAUGGGAGGAGAGGAGGAGGAGCAGGGGAGAGAGGGGGACUGGGGGGGAUCGUGCCCAGCCACAGAGCUCUCUACGGGGGGAGAGACGGACCGGGGAGAGCCUGGGGUGUUUGACUUCAACGAGGGAAUGAUGGAAGAUGACGACACCACUCUCCUCCGAAGGAAACCCAGCCGGCUCAGCUCCCGCUGGAGAAGAAGCUCCAGGAAGGCCAAACCCCAGGCGAUCUCCCCCAGGGAGGGGGAACAGAUCCUGGGUACAGAGAUGGAGGCCCCUGUCCUGGAGGUCACUGCGGUGGAAGUGAGAAGGAGCCGCUGGGGGAGGAGCACCGGGAAGAAACAGGGGGCCGAGCCUCUGACGGUCUCCCCCAGGGAGGAGGGCCCGAUCCUGGGUACGGAGAUGGAGACGCAGACCCCUGUCCUGGAGGUCCUGGAGGUGGAGGUGAGGGUAGAGACUGAAGAAGGACAGAGGGAGAAAGAGAGAAUAGAAGAGGAGAGGACGCUGGUCCACUUUGCGAGCAGAGAAGAAGAGGAUGACCAGGUUCUGAUAAAGGACAAUAAGAGAGGGAGGGAAGAAGAGAAGGAGGAGGAGAUGAAGGUGAUGAGGAAGAGGAGCACGCUGAAGAACUACCGCAAGACUUUCGACCGAGCGUUCCGACGAGGGUGGGAGACCUUCGUCACUAACCUGUACAGCGUGACGCUCACACCUGACUCAUCAUCAUCAUCACCCCCAUCAAGGGAGAUGCACCAUUCCUCAGCAUUAGCAGAAUACAGAUAGGAUUCACAAACCUGUUCAUCUAAUCUGUAAACUGCAAUUGUUCCAAUCAGGUUAUGUAACGCCCAUAUUGUAAUUUGAGAUUGAGGCUGGCUUGGAGAGGGUUCUGUUUGUGUUCUCAACGCAAAUGACCUGUGUUCACCUCAAUGUAUGGUUCAGUUGAUUAAUCAAUCAGUGAUAUUGAUCUAGUACAUACGGGUUUAUCAAUGAUCAAUAUGAACAGCACCCGAUUAACACCAGGAAGUACACAAAGUUUAACUCAUUCUUAUUCUGAAUUCCAAAAUAGCACACUAUUGUACUAGUGCACGAAAUAGGGAAUGGGUUUAAUACUUCCUCACAGGGUGAAGUGUUCAUACCUCUCUGGAGGACCAUCUGCAGGGUGGUUUCAGUGUUGUGCAACCUGAGGGAGACAUAUGUUUCACUAUCCAUGUACCUAUUGAAUGUACCCCAAGUGUGUUAUGUUUGUUUCAUAAAAGGAGAAUGUUUUCAUACCAUGAAAUGAACUAACCAUGGGGGACAUGAGGGUACGAAAAAAAAACGGUCUCAAACUUUGGUCCUCUGACUUUGUCUAAAAGGAGGUUGCACACAACACACACAACAUACAUUAUUUAUUCAUGUUAAUUUAUUUACUAUAUGAUCAGUUUUCACACUUUUCUGUGUAAUCUCUCUCAAUAAUAUCUUACCAAAGAGUUUAUUUAUUUUUAAUUAUUGGCUUAAAUCACAACAUAACAUCUCUCUCUUGCAGCAUUGAAGUCAAGCUCAGAAUUAUAUGAGAGCUAUACUGAGCUGCUGGAGAAAUUGUUUUUCUUCUGUGUUGCACUUGAAUGACUUGAAUGAAAUUGUUAUAUUUAGUUUAAAAAUCAAUGCUUUGUAUUACUUGUGCCAUCUUUGUAGCCUUUGUCCUUAAAUAAAUAUAAUUUCUCAAAUA